UACGUAGGUGGCAAGCGUUGUCCGGAUUUAUUGGGCUUAAAGGGUGCGUAGGUGGUCUAUUAAGUCAGUGCUGAAAUAUCCCGGCUUAACCGGGAGGGUGGCAUUGAUACUGAUAGACUUGAGUAAAGUUGAGGUGGGCGGAAUUGACGGUGUAGCGGUGAAAUGCUUAGAUAUCGUCAAGAACACCUAUUGCGAAGGCAGCUCACUAAGCUUUAACUGACACUGAGGCACGAAAGUGUGGGGAGCAAACAGG
rnacentral:rRNA from 1 species